AUAAACGAUAUCCAUAUAUUUCAACUAUUUUAAACGGGAUGACCAUUGUCAAGUAAGGGGACUAAAUCCAUUUUUAAUUCGUCUAUCAUAUCUAUCAAUAUCAUCUAAUAUAUGAGCUAAACACAGCCCUCAAAAUGAUAGAAUGAAUAACCCUCAAAAUGGCAAUUAAGCAGCAAACAAGAUGUUUCCAUCAUUAUGCAACAACAGCCUCUUCCUCGUGAAGCAGCAUCUGGUCGAAGUGCCAUACACCAUGUCCUUUGCCCACUCUUCUCAGCUCAGCAACAUAUUCAGAAAUUUUUUUGAUGGCUUCCACCUGCUCUGCUAAGAACUCGCUCUCAAUGAAAUCUGUCAAUUGCGCAUCAUGAUUCUGCUCAGCCACGCUGUGUAAGUUCAGGAGCUUCUCAUUUGUUAAUUUUUCCAGAGACAAAGCAAGCUCCAUUGCAUACAAUGCAUCUCCCUUCUCCGCAUGAUCAAACUCUGAAAGAGGCAUCACGAUAGACUGCAACUUAACUUUUCCACCCCUUUUGUUCUGGUAUUCCAUCAAUUUCUCAGCAUGCUCUCUUUCUU
rnacentral:misc_RNA from 1 species